GCCCAGGUGAUGGAAUCGGUAGACAUCUAUGGUUGAGGGCCAUAGGGGAGUAAUCCCGUGAGAGUUCAAGUCUCUCUCUGGGCA
rnacentral:tRNA from 1 species